CAUUAAGAGCUAUACAAAAUUAUGCUUGUUUAUUAUUAUGUUACACCAAAUGAUUUUGAUUCCAAUCUCGCAUGCAGCUAAGAACCUUAUUAUUUAAGUAACGUGUAUUUCUUAUGGUUUGGAGCACGUGGUGUAUCCUAGUCUGUGAAAUAUAUUAUACAUGUAUAAUUUUGACAACAGCAGCUGUAAGUGCAUAAAAUGUUUUUCAACUUGUUCACAUAUCCGGAUAUAGUUCGACCAAGUUUAAAGAUGUGCUCUAAAUAAACUUCGGAACCAGCAGUCAUAAAUUUGUAUUUCGAUUCUUGCUGAGAAUAUUAAAAUUAUGUAAUAUUAGAAGAGUUCGCACAUGAAUAUUUGUAAUUGAAAUUCCGUUCGAUUUUUGCGCGUAUAUGCUUUGGUCACACCGAACUGUAACAGUGUGACCGCUCAUGAAACUUAUCGUGUGCUACGUUGGGCCACACUGUUCACUCAGUGCUGUCAGUUGUUAGAGAGCCGAGCGACUGUGAAGACGUACGUGUGUGCUCAUACAGUGCUCUCAGAAUUUAUUUUUGGCAGUUUUUUUCCCCUACUGGCAGAGCAGCAAGCAAAAUAAAAUAUAAAAAAAAAAACCAAAAAAAAAAACCAAAUGCAAUUACACAUUGCCGCGCGCACACUGCAGCAGCCACACAAACAACAAUGAAAUGCUUGUUUUGUUGUUAAAUGCAACAUUAAAUGUAUGAAACGCAAUGAAUUAAAAACGAAAACCUA
rnacentral:sRNA from 1 species